rnacentral:sRNA from 1 species
AUUUGACAGCUGAGGAAGUGGAGGAACUAGAGGGCAGUAAUUAGCCCAGGGACACAUCUAAGUUGCACAGGCAGUAUUUGAACACAGCAUCCAGCCAUGGUGACGAUGUUUUUAACAACUCCAUUAUAUUCCAUUUCAUGGUCAAAUACCUUCAUUGAAUAAUUUAAAAUUUCAUUUAAUUAAGUAGGUCUGGCAUUAUUCAGAUCCAAAUUGAAACCAGUUCAGCAAGCCAUCUCAAAGUAUAGUAAUUGGGUAUUAAGAAAUUAACUAGGCAUUCUCUAAAUUUAUUUACAUAUUCAACGAGCAUUGAAAAUUAUAUAUCAGAUAUUCUGCCCAAUCAGAGGCUAACAUCUGCCACAAGACAAAUAUGGUGCCUGCCCCCAUGGAGCUCAUAUUCAAAUGGAGAAAAUGUCAACAAGUAUCCCAUGGAGUGAACACUUCAAAAGGAGAAGCACAGGUGAGAAGAUCGAAUUUGGACACCAUUGAGGAGACUAUUGCAGUCAUCCAAGCUCAAGAUGGUAGAGCUUCAUCCUUGAGAAUAAUCAAUGGGGAUAGAUUUAAGAGACACUUAGAGUCUGCAGCCAGAAUGAGCAGAAAGUUAUGAUUCAGAAGAUCAUCUAAAAUUGAACAGCUGCCACUACUGGCAGUAAGUCUACUGCCAUUUGGUAGAUAACCUUCUUAUCACACAGAAAAAUAUCAGUACAGACAAACAGACCGCAAAGAAAAUGAGACCAUCAGCAAAGAAGAUAAAGAAGUUUGUACAAAGCAACUUUUUGUAAAUGGAUGGCUGUCAGGCAAAAAUAAAUUUCCUGUGGACAAGACUAAGAGCAAGGCAAGAGGAAAAUAAACAUGUU